rnacentral:rRNA from 1 species
AUACGGAGGGAGCAAGCGUUAUUCGGAAUCACUGGGCGUAAAGGACGCGUAGGCGGGUUUGUAAGUCAGGUGUGAAAUCCUACAGCUCAACUGUAGAACUGCACUUGAAACUACAGACCUAGAGUAUGGAAGGGGCAGAUGGAAUUAGUGGUGUAGGGGUAAAAUCCGUAGAUAUCACUAGGAAUACCGAAAGCGAAGGCGAUCUGCUGGGACAUUACUGACGCUGAGGCGUGAAAGCGUGGGGAGCGAACAGGAUUAGAAACCCUGGUAGUCC